GCAGGCCAGCGUGGAGGUCCCCCUUUCUCCUUAUAGCUCAGAGAUGGAGGAACUUGUCAUGUCAAAACACAGAAUCGCCUCAACCCAACCUCUUUACCCGUACUUUCUGCUCCUGUGGAUGGCUCAGCUUCUUCUAAGUGAGCUGUUUCUUCCACUUCGCUGCAGGCCUUAGUUCACAGUGUCCUGGUGGGCUACUGAUGAUGGCCAGGAUGGACUUAUGGAAUAUGAAUAUGUAAUUGUAUUUCAAUUUUAAACAUGAGUAAAAGCUCAAAGAAGUAGACAGUAGAAUGGUGGCCUCCAGGGCCUGGGGUGGGGAAGGAGGAUUUCGGUUCGACAGGAAGAAUAAGUUCUAGAGAUCUGUUGAUCUGUUGAUCACAGGGUUGUGCAACACUGUGACUAUAGUUAAUAAUAUAUUGUAUUCUUGAAAAUUCCUAAGAAAGUGGUGUUAUCACCAUAAUAAGUAAAGCUUAUGUUAAUUCAUUCAAUUCAGCCAUUCCACAAUGUAUACAUAUUUUUAAAUAUUAUGUUGUACACAACAAAUAUGUACAAUUUUAUGGCAAUUAAAAGUAAAUAAAUCAGAAAAAAGAAUAACAAAUUAAAAGCAAAUGAGACUGUUUCCCUGGCAACUUAGAAAAUGAUGUCUAUAUCAACCAGUAAAUCACUUGUAACUCAAAAAAUGGGAAAAAAGUCCAAAGAAUCACAGAUUGAGAAGGCUCACAGUUUAGCGGCAUUUUUGAGGACAUCUUCUUACCCAUCGAUCCUGCUGGGGCAGGGAGGACAGUUCCUUGCAACAGUCACUACAUAGAUGCCACACUGCUGUGGAAAUGAGGUUUGCCUGGGCACAGCCCCAGCGAGUGGGGGUCCUGGCACCACAUGCUAAGCCUUCCCCAUGCCCAGUCUUUCACUCUGCACUGAAGCUGCCUGGGUCUGCCUUCCCUCAGCACCUACAGGAAAUCCCCAUAGCCCCCAUGCUGGGCACCAAGAGUGGGCAGCAUAUAGCAACAGUCCAUCAGCUGUCAAUCAGGUUCUCAAAUACAUCUGGGCACCUACUGGAAAGGAUCUGAAUCAUCCUUUUAUCCAGCAUCUCCAUGUUGUAGACGCUCCCUGCUGGUGGUCCCUGACAUUGUCUGCUCCUGGCACCCAGCCACAAACAUGCUCACGGUGCAAAGAUCCAGGAUCAUCUGAGGCAGAUAAUUCUCCAUCCAAUAACUUGUCAGAAGGUCAAUGGCAGGCUAACGCUGCAUCUCAAUGCCUACAUCACGUACCCCAACUUCCUCUACAUCGCACAACAGCACAAGAAAAAGGGCAGGGAAUGUGGGAUCCUGGUAGCUGCAUGAAUGUGGAAGAGAGAGGAGACGUCUGCGGUGAGGACUGAUUGUGUGGAAUUAGGAUCACUGAGUGGAGGCUACAGAGAAACUGCUGAACACGAAGAGCAUUCCAAGGACAUCACUGCCUGUGGGCGGCAUCAUCAGCUUAGAUAAGUGGUAGGCCCCCGGCACUGCAAGUAUUGGAGGGUAAGCUGCCUAGGCACAUGAAGCAAAGGCCAUGAAGUGAUAUUUCUCAAUCUUUGCUUUUAACACAACUAGUGUUCUCUAUGAUCAUACUAGUUGUUUCACAGAACAUGUUCGAUAGGACAUUAAAGUUUAGAAAUAUUAGUUUAAA
ensembl:lncRNA novel transcript